rnacentral:rRNA from 1 species
GACGAACGCUGGCGGCGUGCUUAACACAUGCAAGUCGAACGAUGAAGCAAAGAAUCGAAGCUUCGGCAGAAAUUCAUUUCGGAUUAGUGGCAGACGGGUGAGUAACGCGUGAGCAACCUACCUCUUACAAAGGGAUAGCCUCGUGAAACCGGGAUUAAUACCAUUUAACAUUGUGACGAAGCAUUUCGCUGCAAUCAAAGCUACGGCGGUAAGAGAUGGUCUCGCGUCCCAUUAACCGGAUGGUGAGGUAACGGCUCACCAUAGUGACGAUGGGUCACCGGGCGGAGAGGGUGAGCGAUCACACUGGAACUGAGACACGGUCCAGACUACUACGGGAGGCAGCAGUGGGGAAUAUUGCACAAUGGAGGGAACUCUGAUGCAGCGACGCCGCGUGAGUGAUGAAGGAAUUCGUUUCGUAAAACUCUGUUCUAUGGGAAGAAAAGGACUGUACCAGAGGAGAAAGCUCCGGCUAAAUACGUG